rnacentral:rRNA from 1 species
GACGAACGCUGGCGGCGUGCUUAACACAUGCAAGUCGAACGGAAAGGCCCUGCUUGCGGGGUACUCGAGUGGCGAACGGGUGAGUAACACGUGGGUGAUCUGCCCUGCACUUCGGGAUAAGCCUGGGAAACUGGGUCUAAUACCGGAUAGGAGCCAUUUUUAGUGUGAUGGUUGGAAAGUUUUUUCGGUGUAGGAUGAGCUCGCGGCCUAUCAGCUUGUUGGUGGGGUAAUGGCCUACCAAGGCGGCGACGGGUAGCCGGCCUGAGAGGGUGGACGGCCACAUUGGGACUGAGAUACGGCCCAGACUCCUACGGGAGGCAGCAGUGGGGAAUAUUGCACAAUGGGCGCAAGCCUGAUGCAGCGACGCCGCGUGGGGGAUGACGGCCUUCGGGUUGUAAACGCCUUUCGCUAGGGACGAAGCUUUUUGUGACGGUACCUAGAUAAGAAGCACCGGCUAACUACGUG